GGUCAGGACCCAUGCGAGCAGGCGCCGCCCAACCCCGCCAGGGCCGGAAGGCAGCAACGGUCAGCGGAUGCCUGUGGCGCCGUGGUUAUCCUGGCCGCG
rnacentral:SRP_RNA from 1 species